rnacentral:piRNA from 1 species
UGAAGUAUCCAUCUGAGGUUUAUUUUCUC